rnacentral:tRNA from 1 species
GUGUUUGUAGUGUAAUGGUUAGCAUGGAUGCCUUCCAAGCAUUCGACAGAGGUUCCAUUCCCCACAAACGCA